rnacentral:rRNA from 1 species
AGAGUUUGAUCAUGGCUCAAAGUGAACGCUGGCGGCGUGCUUUACACAUGCAAGUCGAACGGCAGCACGGACUUCGGUCUGGUGGCGAGUGGCGAACGGGUGAGUAAUAUAUCGGAACGUGCCCAGUCGUGGGGGAUAACGUAGUGAAAAUUACGCUAAUACCGCAUACGAUCUAAGGAUGAAAGCGGGGGAUCGCAAGACCUCGCGCGAUUGGAGCGGCCGAUAUCAGAUUAGGUAGUUGGUGAGGUAAAGGCUCACCAAGCCAACGAUCUGUAGCUGGUCUGAGAGGACGACCAGCCACACUGGAACUGAGACACGGUCCAGACUCCUACGGGAGGCAGCAGUGGGGAAUUUUGGACAAUGGACGCAAGUCUGAUCCAGCCAUUCCGCGUGCAGGACGAAGGCCUUCGGGUUGUAAACUGCUUUUGUACAGAACGAAAAGGUCUCUAUUAAUACUAGGGGCUCACGACGGUACUGUAAGAAUAAGCACCGGCUAACUACGUGCCAGCAGCCGCGGUAAUACGUAGGGUGCAAGCGUUAAUCGGAAUUACUGGGCGUAAAGCGUGCGCAGGCGGUUAUAUAAGACAGAUGUGAAAUCCCCGGGCUCAACCUGGGAACUGCAUUUGUGACUGUAUAGCUGGAGUGCGGCAGAGGGGGAUGGAAUUCCGCGUGUAGCAUUGAAAUGCGUAGAUAUGCGGAGGAACACCGAUGGCGAAGGCAAUCCCCUGGGCCUGCACUGACGCUCAUGCACGAAAG